GAGAUGGGGAGAGAUGGGGGGAAAGGGAAAGAGAGAGAGAGAGAGAGAGAGAGAGAGAGAGAGAGAGAGAGAGAGAGAGAGAGAGAGAGAGAGAGAAGAGGAAAGGAAAGGAAAGGAAAGGAAAGGAAAGGAAAGGAAAGGAAAGGAAAGGAAAGGAAAGGAAAGGAAAGGAAAGGAAAGGAAAGGAAAGGAAAGGAAAGGAAAGGAAAGGAAAGGAAAGGAAAGGAAAGGAAAGGAAAGGAAAGGAAAGGAAAGGAAAGACAUUUCAAAUAUAUAGUCAUAGUUUCCAAUGCAGAUAAACAUAGUGGUUGCUUAUAUGUAUGCAUUUUCUUAAAACCCCUAUCAAUAUAGUAUAAGACUAGCAAGUAAAUCCCAGUUCACAAAAAAGCGAUCAGCCAGUGCUCUCCUUAGAAGUCGCCUAUCUCCUAGACUGAUAAAGAAUCUUAGUUUCAUUUAUUUUGCUACUAUUUACCAAGAUUAAUCUGUUCCCCACCCAGGGUGAG
rnacentral:lncRNA from 1 species